CCGCGCUUGUGCGCGUGCGCGUGUGCGUACGUGCGUGCGCAUGCGUGCUGGGGGAGUCACGCCGCGCGUUCUCCCCCUGGAGAGGACCCGGCUGGGGUACCUCAGUUAGGAGGAGGUUCGUGGCUUUUGGUCCAUCACUCUUAAAACCAGCUGUGUAUAAAGCAGAAUUUAGAGGGGCGCCGAGGACCUGGAGGGAAGUCUCAGCCCGGAUUUAAAUCUUGCAAUCACCGCUGGGAAGCGAGCUGUAUCAUCUUGAGAAAUCAGACCACAGAGCUGGGCCUGCAGCUGGCAGGCUGGGUCAUCUUUAAUCGCUUAACCCUUCAUAUCAAAGGAUGGGUCGUAGCAGCAGAUUCCUCCUCAAGAAUUUGCCAUGGCAGAUUUUCUCAAGGAAGAUCUGGGAGUUAAAAUGAAGCAGAGUGUGUACAGCAAAAACCUUGCCUUGAAGGCAGAGUAUUUAUAUUUCUACCAAACUCCCAAGAAGCUGACCUUCGAAUCUGCACUGUCAUUGCUAAGGUCUUUUCCUGCCCACCCAGUGGCUAUGCCAAGUGGCUGGACUGGCCAUCACCAUGGUGCCUGAGAGUGAGAAUGACUGCUUCCUUAACAUAUUUGAAGAGCUAACCAGUCACUGGCUGGGAACAUUGGGAUGAGGAAGACCUAGUGUGAAUAUGAUCCAAAGCUGCCCAUGGAGUGAAUGAGAACAGAGGCCUGGAGGGACUGACUUACCUCAUGGAAAGUUCCAGAAGGAGAUUCAGGUCUGUGAGUAAAGUGCAGUGCCCCACUGGUACAAUAAUCACAGGACACAUUCCAGCAAUCUGGGCUGAAUCAGCAAUGGAGUACUGGGACAGAUAGCACUUAAUGAAUACAGAUGGAAAGUGUGUCUAAAGACACAGGAAGAGCUGAUAGCUCGGGACCUCCCCUUUGGUAUCUAGAAGGGUAAUUCCACGAAUCAAGAAGCACCUUGCCCUAGGAGGGGCUGGGCUAGCUUUCUUCCUCCCUUCCUCCUUUACUCCUUCAUCAGAUAACAUCAAAUAGCAACCAAUAGCUCUGCUGGGUCCUGGGGCAAUCUGGUGAACAAACAGACAAAAUUCUUGGAGCUCAGAGGGGAGCAAACUAAAAAUAACA
rnacentral:lncRNA from 1 species